UAUUGGACAAUGGGGGAAACCCUGACCCAGCGACGCCGCGUGAGUGAAGAAGUAUGUCGGUACGUAAAGCUCUAUCAGCAGGAAAGAAAAUGACGGUACCUGACUAAGAAGCCCCGGCUAACUACGUGCCAGCAGCCGCGGUAAUACGUAGGGGGGCAAGCGUUAUCCGGAGUUACUGGGUGUAAAGGGAGCGUAGACGGCUGCGCAAGUCUGGAGUGAAAUGCCGGGGCCCAACCCCGGAACUGCUCUGGAAACUGUGAAGCUGGAGUGCAGGAGAGGUAAGCGGAAUUCCUGGUGUAGCAGUGAAAUGCGUAGAUAUCAGGAGGAACACCAGCGGCGAAGGCGGCUUACUGGACUGUAACUGACGUUGAGGCUCGAAGGCGUGGGGAGCAAACAGG
rnacentral:rRNA from 1 species